CAACUGCAAAUACUGGCACUGUUUAGAGGUGAUUGCCCUGGGAAUCUGGGAGUUGUAGCUCACCCUUAUCCAGAGAGCCCUUAUCCGACGACAGAUCUGGACCAGACUUCAGUGAUAUUACCUAACAUUCCUAAACAAACAAUGCCUUCUUUUAAUAACCCGAACACUGUCGGGAGCCCAAGCUAGUUUAAAAUAAAAGUGAAAUGCUUCAAAAUUCCCAAAAUGUGGAGGAGGAAGCAGUCACCUACUUGGAUGUUAAUGAUCUUCCUGUUUAUAUUGACAAAAAAAAUUGAAUGCCUUCAAUAAGGCUGGCACUCAUCCAAUGCUUCCAGCCAUGGCACGCCCCAGGAGACAACAGGAGAUGAAGGGAGACAGUGUGAGACUGAUCAAGUUAACUACUUUUUUCCAAAAGAAGAAAUGGCUUCUGCUGGCAAGUCAUUGGCACAACCCUCUCCAAAGCAAACGGAUUGACAAAGCAACAGGAGGCGAGGAAAGCAGCAAAAGGUUAACCACGUGGAAUAUGAGAUAGGGAAAACAUGACAGGCUUGCUGUGGUUCAUUCAGAUAUUAUGUACAUUCGUAUCUUUCUUUUCUUCUAAGGUCCUUAAGGCAGGACACAGAACUCUUCUUUUCUACACAUUCUGUCCUCAGCACAACCCUAGGAGGGCUGUGCUGGGUGUUCUCGGGAGAACUUUUGAUUCCACCCCGCACAUUUACCGGAGUGCAAAAGGGAAGGGAAGAAAAUACAUGGGAUGGAAACCUAUACAAUCAACCUCCAUAUCCACAGAUUCUACAUUCAUGGAUUAAAUCCCAAAAGCAAGCCUGGAUUUUAUAUAAGGGACACUACUAUACCUAAGAGACCAGGGAUCAAAUCCCCAUUUGGUCAUGAAAACCAGAUGACCUUGAGGAGGAGGUCACACUCUUUCAGCCUUCUGAACUACAACAACAACACAAACACCCAAUUAUAGGUUCACUUUGGCUCACCAGAAUUCAGAAACAGCUUGAAGCCACAACAACAAAAGAUGGUGAUUCCUAGCAUCUUGCACCAUUGACCAUAGAGAUAAUGGGAACUUCAGUCCAACAAUAAUCUGAAAACCCAAGCCAUCCAAUUCUACAUAAAUCUAAGUGUUAAAGACUCCAAAGACUCCAAAGUGUUUACCUGUGUAUGAGUCAGAUUCCAUUAGAAUUAACUGCCCCCAGGUUAUGGGUAGAUUCAUUGGCUGCACUUCAAUAUAACAAUUUAACUCCCAGCGCAUUUUCAGAGGACUCUGCUCUAUGUGCCUCUUCACAAGUCAUUGCUCUGUCUUGUCUCCUUCUAUUUCCACCACUAUAUUAUUUUUCUGCAUUUCCACACCUAGGAGAUAAUUGGAUCUCUUCACAACGUGAGUGCAGAACACCAUCCGAAUGAUCCACCUAUGAAGAAGACAACCUAUUACAUCUUUACAUGAGACAGUGUCUCCAGUCAUGGCGUGUUGGGACUUCUGCUACAUCUCCAAAUCAAAAGAGUGUGACUCAGUUGUGCAAACAGAGAGAACUGACUCAAUUUACCAGAGUUUGCUAAGUCUUUGUGACCAUUUUGAAUCAGAUCCAUAACUCGGAAGUAAUUUGGAAUCCUUCAUAGGAAGUUGUCUCAUUUUUAUUUAAAUAAUUCUAAAAGUAAAUGCUUGAAGGUGGGGCGGAGAACUGGUUUUCAUGCAGAUGUUGUCCAAUCUGUGGCUAAAAUCCUUGAUCAUGAGCCAUACAUGAAGCCCACCAACAUCUGGAUAGCAUGUUCCUCAUAUCCCUCUAAGGCUGGAUCUACACUGUGCUAUAAUCCAGAUUAUCAUAGCAGAUAAUCCACAUUAUCUGCUUGGAAAUUGAUUAUAUUUAUGGGCACUACCAUAUAAUCCGGAGCCCUGGUGGAGAAGUGUGUUAAAGCGCUGAGCUGCUGAACUUGCAGACCAAAAGGUCCCAGGUUCAAAUCCCAGGAGUAGAGUGAGCGCCCGCUGCUAGCUCAAGCUUUUGCCAACAUAGCAGUUUGAAAACAUGACAAUGUGAGUAGAUCAAUAGGUACCGCUCCAGCGGGAAGGUAACGGAUAAAGAAUACUCCAGCGGGAAGGUAACGGAUAAAGAAUACUCGUCGGAUCAAGAAAUAAUGGAUCAAUUCUACAAAUUUUAUAAAACCCUAUACGCAAAAGAACAGAUAGAAAAGGAGGAGAUUGUUAAGUAUUUAAGUAACCAGAAACUAGCCAAAAUCUCAGAUAAACAUAGAGAACAUCUAAAUAAAGAAAUAUCUAAAGAAGAACUACACAAUGCAAUCAAGAAAUUAGACUCCUCAAAGGCGCCAGGACCUGACAGAUAUAUAGCAUGUUAUUAUAAAAUAUUUGAACAAGAAUUGUCCCCAUUUCUUAUAAGAAUAAUGAAUCAAGCAAUGCAAAAUCAGAUAAUACCAAACUCAUGGAAGGGGGCUACAAUAACAUUAAUCCACAAAGAAAAAUCAGAUCCUCAGGACAUUAAAAAUUACAGACCAAUCUCGCUCCUAAACACAGACUACAAAUUAUUUACAAACAUAUUGGCGGAAAGAUUGAAACUUUUUUUAACAGAAUGGAUAAAAGAAGACCAAGCCGGAUUCCUUCCCAGAAGACAAAUAAAGCUAUUAUAUAGAUAUUCCGCAAUGGAUGGGGAAGACCGGCAAUGGGGUGGGGAGGAACCUGAGUUUGAUCGGAAUGGAUUUUGUGCAGGUUUUUGUCUCAGCGAGAAUAAAUUUUCACAAUGAAAAAAAUCCAUCAUUCUGCUCUUUCUCCUUUUUUUUUUUUUUAAAAAAAGAAAAACCUUGUAGGAAGAAAAAUGACUAAUUGGUGCUGUCAGGAUACCAUUUUUCCUGUUUUCGUAAUUCUUUGCAUUGUUUAUCCUUUGCUCUCUCUGUGUGCGUGUGGUGUGUUUCCUUUGGCAUUAGCAGCGCAUCUUCGUCAUGGGAGAAGAUAAGUGUAAAGAGAAAUUGAAGUUGAUUUUGCAUGACACAAAUUUAAUAUCAAAUUGAUGUGGCGUUGCAGCUUUGCGUGUGAGUGUGUCGAGACAGAAACAACACAGAUAAAGGAAAGAGGAGACAGAGAU